UCCCAGACUCCUACGGGAGGCAGCAGUGAGGAAUAUUGGUCAAUGGGCGAGAGCCUGAACCAGCCAAGUCGCGUGAGGGAGUACUGCCCUAUGGGUUGUAAACCUCUUUUGUCGGGGAGCAAAAGCCGGACGUGUCCGGCUGUGAGAGUACCCGAAGAAAAAGCAUCGGCUAACUCCGUGCCAGCAGCCGCGGUAAUACGGAGGAUGCGAGCGUUAUCCGGAUUUAUUGGGUUUAAAGGGUGCGUAGGCGGUCGGAUAAGUUAGAGGUGAAAUCCCGAGGCUCAACUUCGGAAUUGCCUCUGAUACUGUUCGGCUAGAGAGUAGUUGCGGUAGGCGGAAUGUAUGGUGUAGCGGUGAAAUGCUUAGAGAUCAUACAGAACACCGAUUGCGAAGGCAGCUUACCAAGCUACUUCUGACGUUGAGGCACGAAAGCGUGGGGAGCAAACAGGAUUAGAUACCCGUGUA
rnacentral:rRNA from 1 species